GAGUAUAGUUGAGGUAGCUGGAAUGAGUAGUGUAGCGGUGAAAUGCAUAGAUAUUACUCAGAACACCGAUUGCGAAGGCAGGUUACCAAGUUAUAACUGACGCUGAGGGACGAAAGCGUGGGGAGCGAACAGGAUUAGAUACCCUGGUAGUCCACGCCGUAAACGAUGCUAACUCGUUUUUGGGCUUUAGGGUUCAGAGACUAAGCGAAAGUGAUAAGUUAGCCACCUGGGGAGUACGACCGCAAGGUUGAAACUCAAAGGAAUUGACGGGGGCCCGCACAAGCGGUGGAUCAUGUGGUUUAAUUCGAUGAUACGCGAGGAACCUUACCAAGGCUUAAAUGGGAAUUGACAGCUGUAGAAAUACGGUUUUCUUCGGACAAUUUUCAAGGUGCUGCAUGGUUGUCGUCAGCUCGUGCCGUGAGGUGUUAGGUUAAGUCCUGCAACGAGCGCAACCCCUGUCACUAGUUGCCAUCAUUAAGUUGGGGACUCUAGUGAGACUGCCUACGCAAGUAGAGAGGAAGGUGGGGAUGACGUCAAAUCAUCACGGCCCUUACGCCUUGGGCCACACACGUGAUACAAUGGCCGGUACAGAGGGCA
rnacentral:rRNA from 1 species